UACGGCGGUCAUAGCGUGGGGGAAACGCCCGGUCCCAUUCCGAACCCGGAAGCUAAGGCCCACAGCGCCGAUGGUACUGCACUCGUGAGGGUGUGGGAGAGUAGGACACCGCCGGAC
rnacentral:rRNA from 1 species